rnacentral:lncRNA from 1 species
ACAAUCAUUCAUUAUCUUUACAAUUAACCAUUUAAAAUUACCACAGUUCUUCAAUCAAAGUAUAUAUCUACAUAUAUAGAGAGAGUACACUUCAUAAUUUUGUCUCUUGUCUUCCGUAAACGUAGCACGAAAAUUUGAUACCUAGUAUUGUAAGGCAGGUCGUAGAAGCAGUCUUCCUGCACAUAUUUAAAAAUCAUAGCAAGUCAAAAAAAUGAAGCAAAUAGAUCACCAGAGGCACUUAGUGCCAAAAUAAUACACAAAGACAAUAGAGUUGCUACGUGAUACUAAUGUACAUCGUAUUGCUCAUAAACAAAAAAAAACAAUUAGAAAUCUAUAUCAAACAGUUUCACGAUUCAAACUUGGAAAUAAAAAUUGCAAUGCUGAAGGAACUAUAAAUUAGAAAUGAUACCUCAGAGUCUCUUGAUCCAAGUAAACUUCUGUCAUUAAUGUUAGCAGAUCCAAUUAAGGACGUACAGUCAUCAAUUAUCAUGACCUUACUAUGAACAUUGCAGUAAAAAAAAGAGAAGGUUGUUGGUUGUGACAUAUGCACGUAGUAGAAGCUAGACUUUCAAUACAUUUUAUAUUUUAAGAAUAUAUGUAAAUUUGUUAAUCUUUAACAGCAGUUGCCGAUUAAUAUGAGCGAAAGCUUUGAAACCCUACACUUCCAUGAUAUGUGCACUACCACUGUUGGGUUUGUGUUCCAGCAACAUUUUCUAUGAUAUUUUAAAAUUUAUAUCAUGUUACAUUAUUCAUAUAAAAUGCUCAAAAAAAUAUAAAAUUAAAUAACAUACAUCAGUGUUUCGACUCUGUUGAACUAAUUCCUGAGAUAUACAGUAUUUUAAAGAGAGGGAAAAACAUUAAAUAAUCUUUGCCACAAUACCCAACAGAUACAAAAAACAUUUGUCUUCCUUUUACAGGAGGGAGUAAAAGAGGUACCUUGAGUGAUUCUACUUGUGAUAAUGAGUUGGCAAGCAUUGCAGCCCUGGAAUAUGUUCUGCAUUAUAUUAUCUUACAGUUAAAAAGAAAAUAAUCAAUUUUCUCAAACACUAUGUUUCUGUUUUCUAGGAGGAUUCAUCCCAAAAUUAACAUCAGUUUAUAAACCUUUUUGCCUUAGAAAAGCAACGGGUCAACAAACAUUCUCACUCUAAAAUGCAGUAAAAUUAUUACAAGACCAUCUUUUUCAGAAGUAAAAUUAGUUCCUCUAUAUUUUCCACAAAAUAAUGAUGUAUCAAUAGAAACACAAUAAGCUCACAAUAAUGAGAAAUCAUUUCAGGUAGUUUCGCACUUUCUGCGACAAAAAACUCAUAAAGCUUAAGACACUAUGUUUCUGAAGAAGGAAAAUCAGCAGUAACUAAUUGCAUUGUGUAGCGAAAUUGAACGAUCCAUCCCACAUCUAUUCAUCACCUUAGCAGCGCACACCUGUGUAGACGAGCCCAAUAAGUAUGUUGGACCACCUCCUUACCUAAAAGGUUAACCUAUUAGGUUGAUGUUCUACCAUACUUAUUAAGCCAUCUACACUCUUGAAUUUAACCGAUGUGGGAUUCAUGUGAAAUCCCAACAAUCUCCACCUUUCACUUGAAUACCCAUCACAAGUAUCAUACUAGAGUAUCUUAUCAUUAAGCACACCUUCUUUGAAUCCUUCAAGAGCUCUCUACUCGACUCUAAUACUACUCCCAGCAGUUUUUCCUAGAGCCAUCCCGAGCCAUGCUCCACCCGAUUCAAAUACUUUUUGAGUCCUUCAAGAGCCUUGCUUGACUCUAAUAUUACUCCACCACGUCCUGGGUGUCUCACCACGUCCUGGGUGUCUCAGCAAUUUCCCUAGAGCCUUCCCUAAGCCCGCUCCACCCGACUCAAAUCAUCCCGUGCUCCACCUGACACGAGGCCCCCGUGCUCCACCUGACACGAGGCCGUGCUCCACCUGAUUCAACUCUAUUUACUCCACCCACGAGGCCUGCGAAUUGUACCUCUCGCGCACCCCCUCGCACCUUGAAGUUGAUACUUGGACUCCCACCGAACCAUGGGCUUUGAUACCACUUGUAGGGAAAUUGUACGAUCCAUCCCACAUCUAUUCAUCACCUUAGCAGCGCACACCUGUGUAGACGAGUCCAAUAAGUAUGUUUGGACCACCUCCUUACCUAAAAGGUUAACCUAUUAGGUUGAUGUUCUACCAUACUUAUUAAGCCAUCUACACUCUUGAAUUUAACCGACGUGGGAUUCAUGUGAAAUCCCAACACAUUGCAUGUCAAAAGCCAAAAAGAAGAAGUUGAAGCUUGUAACUAGAAGGACAAAUGAUAAUUUGAAAGCCUACCAAGUGAUGACUGGACAAAAGAAGUACAUUUCUACCCAAGGUAGAUCAUAUUGAUACUAUGAAGCCAUUCAUGAGCAGACUAAAAUGGUUCUAAUACAACAAAGGAGGCAAACGAGGUUCCUAAGAAAUACGUCAAGCAAGUACCAUGAACUGGAAUUAUACAGUUUCAUUAAGAAGAUGCAUAAAACUUCUGAAACUUGCAAAAGAUUUAAUACCAAUAUAUGAUUAUUUCUUUCUGAUAGAAACAUAUAUGUUUUCUUGACAGAAACAGAAAUAUGGCAAUAUGGGAUAUCUUGGUAAGACAUCCAACAGAUGUAAGGAGGUGGGAGACUCCAAAUGACAAUAAGCUCGGAAGAUUAGCUCUCUUUCUUUUCGCCACUAGCUUCUGAUAGCAAUGGUUCAAGUUCCCCUUUACGGUAUAGCUUAACAGUAUCUGCACCAUGAAUUAAAAUCAAAACUUUUUCACUAGUUCUUUCACAUCCAGCUUCAAUAAUUUUGAUAGCCAUGCAAUCAUCUAGGAGUAAUUGAGUUAAAUGGCAAGCACUAUACCAAAUACUUGUAAUAAUCCAUGAAAUAAAUAAAAAUAACAAGAAGAGAACUUCUGGAAGUAUCACAAUAUUAAUAUUAUAGUGAGAAAAUUAAGUGUAGCAUCUCAAAAUAGAAAACUCUAAUAAAUUGAGGAUGAAACAAAAAACAGAAGGAAAAAAAAGGAAUAAAAACAUAAUACCAUACUUAAACGACAGUGUAUAAGAUAGUACUUGUACAACCUCCAAUGUGUUUUGCCCCUGGUCAUGAAAAAGACAGAAACUUUCAGCACUUUUAUUUUUAUAGAUAAAAUCUGAAAUACCAUUCCUUUGAAAGAAUUCUCUCCCAUAAACUUUUACAGUGAAACAAACAACAUAGCUACUUAAAAAUGAAGGGAAGAGAUCAAAGAAGCCAGGUACAAUAUUUCCAAGGACAUAUUAUGAUGACCAUAUAUAAGAUGAUAUAGUAGUGCAUACAGAAUGCACUGCUCUUUCGAUAAUAAGAUAAGAGAAUAAGAUAAGCUUUGAAACCCUACACUUCCAUGAUAUCUUAAAUUGAUAAUAAGAUAAGAGAAUAAGAUGAUAUAGUAGUGCGUACAGAAUUGAUAAAGUCAUUGUUAAAAUCGUUUGGAGAGAGAGAACUGAAACUCAAUCGCUUAGAUGCGCCACUUAUCUGGAUAUUGGGCUGCCGAAAAUGUUUCUCAGAGGAGUCGGAGUUAAGGUCGAGGGAAUCCCUAAUAUACAGAGAGCCGCACAGAUCUGUGUUGAAUAGAGAGAGGCGCAGAUCUAUUCUAGGUUAGGCUUCUCUUUUUGGAACAUAAUAGAAGAAUGGCAGGGAAGUUUAAUCGCUUAGUGUAAUAUUUGAUGGCUUAAUAAAAGUCCAUCUCCUGCUUGGAGUCUAUGACUCAGCACUUACAACUUAUUA